rnacentral:rRNA from 1 species
AGUCGAGGGGUAUUUAUCUUCGGAUAGAGAGACCGGCGCACGGGUGCGUAACGCGUAUGCAAUCUGCCUUUUACAGAGGGAUAGCCCAGAGAAAUUUGGAUUAAUACCUCAUAGUAUUAUGAAAUGGCAUCAUUUUAUAAUUAAAGUCACAACGGUAAAAGAUGAGCAUGCGUCCCAUUAGCUAGUUGGUAAGGUAACGGCUUACCAAGGCUACGAUGGGUAGGGGUCCUGAGAGGGAGAUCCCCCACACUGGUACUGAGACACGGACCAGACUCCUACGGGAGGCAGCAGUGAGGAAUAUUGGACAAUGGGCGCAAGCCUGAUCCAGCCAUGCCGCGUGCAGGAUGACGGUCCUAUGGAUUGUAAACUGCUUUUAUACGAGAAGAAACACUCCAACGUGUUGGAGCUUGACGGUAUCGUAAGAAUAAGGAUCGGCUAACUCCGUGCCAGCAGCCGCGGUAAUACGGAGGAUCCAAGCGUUAUCCGGAAUCAUUGGGUUUAAAGGGUCCGUAGGCGGUUUAGUAAGUCAGUGGUGAAAGCCCAUCGCUCAACGGUGGAACGGCCAUUGAUACUGCUGAACUUGAAUUAUUAGGAAGUAACUAGAAUAUGUAGUGUAGCGGUGAAAUGCUUAGAGAUUACAUGGAAUACCAAUUGCGAAGGCAGGUUACUACUAAUGGAUUGACGCUGAUGGACGAAAGCGUGGGUAGCGAACAGGAUUAGAUACCCUGGUAGUCCACGCCGUANACGAUGGAUACUAGCUGUUGGGAGCAAUCUCAGUGGCUAAGCGAAAGUGAUAAGUAUCCCACCUGGGGAGUACGUUU